AGCCUCUCAGGGUUGGACCUGGAGAGUUUUCCAGUAUUCUAUCUGUCUCAGCUACAGGAGGGAGAGUCAAGCAGAGGCCUACCCAUUCCAUUCCUAGCUUGGGCAGUAGCUAGCGAGUGGAAGGCCAUCUGCUACAAGU
rnacentral:snoRNA from 2 species